GACGAACGCUGGCGGCGUGCUUAACACAUGCAAGUCAAGCGGUAAGGCCCUUUCGGGGGUACACGGGCGGCGAACGGGUGAGUAACACGUGGGUGACCUGCCCUCAGCUCUGGGAUAAGCCUGGGAAACCGGGUCUAAUACUGGAUAUGACUCCAUGACGCAUGUUGUGGGGUGGAAAGCCUUGUGCGGCUGAGGAUGGGCCCGCGGCCUAUCAGCUUGUUGGUGGGGUGAUGGCCUACCAAGGCGACGACGGGUAGCCGGCCUGAGAGGGCGACCGGCCACACUGGGACUGAGACACGGCCCAGACUCCUACGGGAGGCAGCAGUGGGGAAUCUUGCGCAAUGGGCGAAAGCCUGACGCAGCGACGCCGCGUGGGGAUGACGGCCU
rnacentral:rRNA from 1 species